GACGAACGCUGGCGGCGUGCUUAACACAUGCAAGUCGAACGGAAAGGCCCUGCUUUUGUGGGGUGCUCGAGUGGCGAACGGGUGAGUAACACGUGAGUAACCUGCCCUUGACUUUGGGAUAACUUCAGGAAACUGGGGCUAAUACCGGAUAGGAGCUCCUGCUGCAUGGUGGGGGUUGGAAAGUUUCGGCGGUUGGGGAUGGACUCGCGGGUUAUCCGCUUGUUGGUGGGGUAGGGGCUUACCAAGGCUUUGACGGGUAGCCGGCCUGGGAGGGUGACCGGCGUCAUUGGUCCUGAGAUACGGCGCAGACGCCUACGGGAGGCAGCAGGGGGGAAUAUUGCACAAUGGGCGGAAGCCUGAGGCAGCAACGCCGCGUGCGGGAUGACGGCCUUCGGGUUGUAAACCGCUUUCGCCUGUGACGAAGCGUGAGUGACGGUAAUGGGUAAAGAAGCACCGGCUAACUACGUG
rnacentral:rRNA from 1 species